UUAUAAGUGGAACUGUUUCUUUGCACGUGAGUGUAUAUGUAUAUUUAUUUUUAAUACUAAAGUGUUUUGCUAUUUUUAGUUGAUAGCUCUUUAGAUCGUUGGCGUCAGUGCAUCCCGCUCGACGAGGAGUACACCGACUGCAACGAUGAUAACUCGUGCUCCGGCUGCCUCUUCUGCGAGUGCGACUUCGACGGCAACUGGGCCUGCCGGACCAUCCACGACUGCAGCGAGAGCAGCCGCCUCGGAGACCAAACCCUGGACCAUGCUCUCAGAGAACUACACAACUUAAUCAUGAAGCAGGAGAAAUCUGAAAAUAAGGCGCGCAAACCUCGCCGGGGACCAAGUUUUACUCAUGACAAUAAGGAUGGAGUCUUGGGUUACCUGAUCACUAUUUCUUAGCACAAACAACACACUGAAGCCCUACGCAUUGUAUAAUUUCUUCGUUUGUUUCAUUUUGUAAUCAAUAAACUUAAUUUAAUUUGGAUUUAA